GAUGAAGAACGCAGCGAAAUGCGAUAAGUAAUGUGAAUUGCAGAAUUCAGUGAAUCAUCGAAUCUUUGAACGCACAUUGCGCCCGCCAGUAUUCUGGCGGGCAUGCCUGUCUGAGCGUCAUUUCAACCCUCAUGCCCCUAGGGCGUGGUGUUGGGGAUCGGCCAAAGCCCGCGAGGGACGGCCGGCCCCUAAAUCUAGUGGCGGACCCGUCGUGGCCUCCUCUGCAAAGUAGUGAUAUUCCGCAUCGGAGAGCGAUGAGCCCCUGCCGUUAAACCCCCAACUUUCCAAGGUUGACCUCAGAUCAGGUAGGAAUACCCGCUGAACUUAAGCAUAUCAAUAAGCGGAGGA
rnacentral:misc_RNA from 1 species